GGGGAAUAUUGCACAAUGGGGGAAACCCUGAUGCAGCGACGCCGCGUGAGUGAAGAAGUAUUGCGGUAUGUAAAGCUCUAUCAGCAGGGAAGAUAAUGACGGUAACUGACUAAGAAGAUCCUGCUAACUACGUGCGAGUCGCCGCGGUAAUACGUAGGGGGCAAGCGUUAUCCGGAUUUACUGGGUGUAAAGGGUGCGUAGGUGGCAUGGCAAGUCAGAAGUGAAAGCCCGGGGCUCAACCCCGCGGACUGCUUUUGAAACUGUCAGGCUGGAGUACAGGAGAGGUAAGCGGAAUUCCUAGUGUAGCGGUGAAAUGCGUAGAUAUUAGGAGGAACACCAGUGGCGAAGGCGGCUUACUGGACUGUAACUGACACUGAGGCACGAAAGCGUGGGGAGCAAACAGG
rnacentral:rRNA from 1 species